UACGAAGGGGGCGAGCGUUUGUCCGGAUUUACUGGGCGUAAAGAGCGCGCAGGCGGUCGAUCAAGUCGAGUGUGAAAGCCCCCGGCUCAACUGGGGAGGGUCAUUCGAAACUGGUCGACUCGAAGGCAGGAGAGGGUAGUGGAAUUCCCGGUGUAGUGGUGAAAUGCGUAGAUAGUCGGGAGGAACACCAGUGGCGAAGGCGACUACCUGGCCUGUUCUUGACGCUGAGGCGCGAAAGCUAGGGGAGCAAACGGG
rnacentral:rRNA from 1 species